AUUGAACGCUGGCGGCAGGCCUAACACAUGCAAGUCGAACGAGUGGCGGACGGGUGAGUAAUGUCUGGGAAACUGCCUGAUGGAGGGGGAUAACUACUGGAAACGGUAGCUAAUACCGCAUACUAUCAGAUGUGCCCAGAUGGGAUUAGCUUGUUGGUGGGGUAAAGGCUCACCAGGGCGACGAUCUCUAGCUGGUCUGAGAGGAUGACCAGCCACACUGGGACUGAGACACGGUCCAGACGCCGACGGUAGGCAGCAGUGGGGAAUAUUGCACAAUGGGCGCAAGCCUGAUGCAGCCAUGCCGCGUGUAUGAAGAAGGCCUUAGGGUUGUAAAGUACUUUCAGCGGGGAGGCGUGACCCGCAGAAGAAGCACCGGCUAACUCCGUGCCAGCAGCCGCGGUAAUUC
rnacentral:rRNA from 1 species